AAGGUCUCUAGUGAACGAGGCAGGGUACUUUGGAACAAAAAAAGGCUGAUCUCAGGCUUAAGAGCUCCUGUGUGGUGCCAGGCUUCCUUUUAGAUGAGAGAACAUGGUGGGAUUUUUGUCUGAAACAUCAGUCACCACAACAAUUAACAGUGUCAUUUCAGAGGUUACCAAAUCUGGAUGACAUUUUACUAGGAUUCUUUCAUGUUUGAUGCUUCCUUGUGAGUCAAGUUCUGUGCAACAGCUUGCUCCAGCAGUGACCUUGAGGAGUGUGCCUUUUGACUUCAAAUCAAAAUGUUCUAGAAACUGUCAACCAAAGUGAUCCAGCUGAUCUUAACAGAUGAGAAAGUAAAUAAAGCAAAA